rnacentral:rRNA from 1 species
AGCGUAGGCGGCGGAGCAAGUCAGAAGUGAAAGCCCGGGGCUCAACCCCGGGACGGCUUUCGAAACUGCCCUGCUUGAUUUCAGGAGAGGUAAGCGGAAUUCCUAGUGUAGCGGUGAAAUGCGUAGAUAUUAGGAGGAACACCAGUGGCGAAGGCGGCUUACUGGACGGUAACUGACGUUGAGGCUCGAAAGCGUGGGGAGCAAACA